rnacentral:rRNA from 1 species
UACGUAGGGAGCAAGCGUUGUUCGGAUUUACUGGGCGUAAAGGGCGCGUAGGCGGGCUGGCAAGUCGGUCGUGAAAUCCCUCGGCUCAACCGAGGAACGUCGAUCGAUACUGCUGUUCUUGAGGAUUGCAGAGGAGACUGGAAUUCCCGGUGUAGCGGUGAAAUGUGUAGAGAUCGGGAGGAACACCGGUGGCGAAGGCGGGUCUCUGGGCAAUUCCUGACGCUGAGGCGCGAAAGCGUGGGGAGCAAACGGG